UACGUAGGGGGCAAGCGUUAUCCGGAAUUACUGGGUGUAAAGGGAGCGUAGACGAUAAUGUAAGUCUGGAGUGAAAGGCGGGGGCCCAACCCCCGGACUGCUCUGGAAACUAUGUUACUAGAGUGCAGGAGAGGUAAGCGGAAUUCCUAGUGUAGCGGUGAAAUGCGUAGAUAUUAGGAGGAACACCAGUGGCGAAGGCGGCUUACUGGACUGUAACUGACGUUGAGGCUCGAAAGCGUGGGGAGCAAACAGG
rnacentral:rRNA from 1 species